rnacentral:rRNA from 1 species
AUUUUGCGCAAUGGGCGAAAGCCUGACGCAGCAACGCCGCGUGUGUGAUGAAGGCCUUCGGGUUGUAAAGCACUGUUCAGAGGGAAGAACAAGCGGGGGUAAUGCCCCGCCCUGACGGUACCUCUGAAGAAAGCACUGGCUAACUCCGUGCCAGCAGCCGCGGUAAUACGGAGAGUGCGAGCGUUGUUCGGAAUUACUGGGCGUAAAGGGCGUCUAGGCGGCUUGCCAAGUCAGAUGUGAAAUCCCUCGGCUCAACCGAGGACGUGCAUCUGAAACUGGUGAGCUUGAGUACUGGAGGGGGCAGCGGAAUUCCCGGUGUAGAGGUGAAAUUCGUAGAUAUCGGGAGGAACACCAGUGGCGAAGGCGGCUGCCUGGCCAGAUACUGACGCUGAAGCGCGAAAGCGUGGGGAGCAAACAGG